UUUGCGUGCAGAGGGCUAGAU
rnacentral:miRNA from 1 species